UUAGUGAUGAAUGUUUUUGGUAUGACCACCAGUACUGAUUAGAAAAACCAAACUAUCCUCUAAGAAGAUCUGAAUAU